AGGGAAUCUUCGGCAAUGGACGGAAGUCUGACCAAGCAACGCCGCGUGAGUGAAGAAGGUUUUCGGAUCGUAAAGCUCUGUUGUAAGAGAAGAACGAGUGUGAGAGUGGAAAGUUCACACUGUGACGGUAACUUACCAGAAAGGGACGGCUAACUACGUGCCAGCAGCCGCGGUAAUACGUAGGUCCCGAGCGUUAUCCGGAUUUAUUGGGCGUAAAGCGAGCGCAGGCGGUUAGAUAAGUCUGAAGUUAAAGGCUGUGGCUUAACCAUAGUACGCUUUGGAAACUGUUUAACUUGAGUGCAGAAGGGGAGAGUGGAAUUCCAUGUGUAGCGGUGAAAUGCGUAGAUAUAUGGAGGAACACCGGUGGCGAAAGCGGCUCUCUGGUCUGUAACUGACGCUGAGGCUCGAAAGCGUGGGGAGCAAACAGGAUUAGAUACCCUGGUAGUCCACGCCGUAAACGAUGAGUGCUAGGUGUUGGGUCCUUUCCGGGACUCAGUGCCGCAGCUAACGCAUUAAGCACUCCGCCUGGGGAGUACGACCGCAAGGUUG
rnacentral:rRNA from 1 species